rnacentral:sRNA from 1 species
CAGCCAGUGCUGACCAGGGACUUCUGACCUGCUGGCCAGCCAGGACCUGUGUGGGGAGGCCCUCCUUCUGCCUUGGGGUGACAAUCUCAGCUCCAGGCUACAGGGAGACCAGGAGGAUCACAGAGCCAGCAUGGAUCCUGACAGUGAUCAACCUCUGAACAGCCUCGAUGUCAAACCCCUGCGCAAACCCCGUACCCCCAUGGAGACCUUCAGAAAGGUGGGGAUCCCCAUCAUCAUAGCAUUACUGAGCCUGGCGAGUAUCAUCAUUGUGGUUGUCCUCAGUAAGUGACAGCCCGUACCCGACUUUCACCCUCUAAGUAAAUGACAGGGCCCAACCCCUACCCCCGCACUCAC